rnacentral:tRNA from 2 species
AGGGCCGUAGCCGAGUCUGGUCGAAGGCGGGAGACUUAAGAUCUCCUACAUAGGCAACGUCGCCAGUUCAAAUCUGGUCGGCCCUAACA